rnacentral:lncRNA from 1 species
CAUGCUGAACCUGUAGAUUGGCCAGUAAGCCUCGAAUGGCCUGACCCUUCUGUGUUGCUAGGUGUGGCAGUUAAUGGCAGUUACUUGCAGCUUGAACUGUUCGCUAUUGCGGGAUUAUUGUUAACUUUCUGAGAGCAUUUCCAAGUCCAAUGACAUCUGAUUUCUAGUCCUAACAUUUUUUUAAUUCCUGAAGCCAGGGACCCGCCCGGCCCAAACCCUGAGACAGAGAGUUGCAUGGAGUGCUCCCAGAAGAGGGAAGUGCAGUAAGCCAGCCCGGAGUCCACGGAGGAGCCCUGUGUCUGUCCUUGAAUGUCAAGGCUGAAGGCGGAGAAGACGGCUGCCUCUGAAUUUGUAGAUGAUGCUCCAUAUUCUGUGGCGUCCGUUGAACUUUAUCCAGCAAACCGGCAAGUUAGAGGGAAACGCUUCGUGCGACGGGAGCAUUUCACCAGCCCCACGGUCCUAGGAGGUGUACUGACCUUUACCAACCACUCAUCAAACAUCGGAGACAUUCAUGAGGCACCUACCAGGUGCCAGAGACCUGCCA